ACUAGACUUACACUGGAAUAUCUGAAGUAAACAGAUUCGAUACAGAACUAGAAUUUGUGUUGGCGUCAUUAGAAUAACAGAUACCUGCAGCGGACCAAAAACUUUUUGGCCUGGUCCCGAAUGAGCUGGAUGGUCCUUACUUGAAGUGGUGAGGCGAGACAUGCUGAGCAACGGGGUGAAAAUGAAGUCUCUGACAUCACAAGAUAGGAUUCUGGGAUAUGCCAGCAGUCGACGACAGGGGCCUCGAGUGGCAGACAACGCCCCACGCCUCGGUGUGACAGAUACACACGCAGAAAUAAAUGGACUUGUACUGCACUCAAG
ensembl:lncRNA